CGGUGGAGCAUGUGGUUUAAUUCGAAGCUACGCGAAGAACCUUACCAGGUCUUGACAUCUUCUGCCAAUCUUAGAGAUAAGACGUUCCCUUCGGGGACAGAAUGACAGGUGGUGCAUGGUUGUCGUCAGCUCGUGUCGUGAGAUGUUGGGUUAAGUCCCGCAACGAGCGCAACCCUUAUUAUCAGUUGCCAGCAUUCAGUUGGGCACUCUGGUGAGACUGCCGGUGACAAACCGGAGGAAGGUGGGGAUGACGUCAAAUCAUCAUGCCCCUUAUGACCUGGGCUACACACGUGCUACAAUGGACGGUACAACGAGUCGCAAAGUCGCGAGGCUAAGCUAAUCUCUUAAAGCCGUUCUCAGUUCGGAUUGCAGGCUGCAACUCGCCUACAUGAAGUUGGAAUCGCUAGUAAUCGCGGAUCAGCAUGCCGCGGUGAAUACGUUCCCGGGCCUUGUACACACCGCCCGUCACACCAUGGGAGUCUGAAAUGCCCAAAGCCGGUGGCCUAACCUUUCGGGGAAGGAGCCGUCUAAGGCCAGGGCAGAUGACUGGGGUGAAGUCGUAACAAGGUAACC
rnacentral:rRNA from 1 species